UGUGAUAUCAAUCAUUGUUCCCGAGUGGUGUGCGAGAACUCUCUCUAGCUGCCAAUUGGGAGACCGUUUUGUGGAAUUUCAAAAGAAUCCUCAUUUUCAUAAAGGCUUGAUUUAAUCAAGUAUGAGAAUGUAUUUUCUAGUUCAAAAAGCAAAUUUCAAAACACAGAUAGCCGUGAGGGGAGAAGCAUGAAGAGGCAUCAAAACCUGGCCAGUGGACACAUUCCAAAGCAGAGAAUCCCUUGUGGAACAAGCCAGUUGUAGAAGUAUGUGGAAAGUACAGAUGGAGCCAGACUUUCUGUGGAGGGGCGUUCUACUUUUGAAGAAGAAAAAAAUAAGGAGCUGGAGGAAGAAACAGAAG